rnacentral:misc_RNA from 1 species
UUUCCGUAGGUGAACCUGCGGAAGGAUCAUUAAUGUAUAACCGAGGUGCGAGGGCUGUCGCUGACCCGAAAGGUCGUGCACGCCCGCGUGCUCUCACACACAUCCAUCUCACCCCUAUGUGCACCACGGCGUGGGUGCUGCUUUGGCUUGUUCGGCGGCGGGCUUACGUUUUCACACAAAAUUUGUAUGCAGUGUAGAAUGUAUUUUUUGUCUUUUCGAUCACGCAAACAAUACAACUUUCAACAACGGAUCUCUUGGUUCUC